AUGCAAGUCGAACGAGAAAGGGAUCCUUCGGGAACCUGAGUAAAGUGGCGAACGGGUGAGUAACACGUGGGUGACCUGCCCUUUGGAGGGGGAUAACCCGGGGAAACCCGGGCUAAGACCGCAUAAGCCUCUGAGGUCAAACUCAGAGGGAAAAGGGUCUAGCUUUCGAGCUUGAUCCUGCCGAAGGAGGGGCCCGGUCCCAUUAGCUUGUUGGUGGGGUAAAAGCCUACCAAGGCUACGAUGGGUAGCCGGUCUGAGAGGACGGACGGCCACACUGGAACUGAGACACGGUCCAGACUCCUACGGGAGGCAGCAGUGGGGAAUUUUGGGCAAUGGGCGAAAGCCUGACCCAGCAACGCCGCGUGGAGGAAGAAGGCCUUCGGGUCGUAAACCCCUGUCCUUAGAGAAGAAAAGCCUAUGGUUAAUACCCGUGGGUCUUGACGUUACCUACAGAAGAAGCUCCGGCUAACUCCGUGCCAGCAGCCGCGGUAAUACGGAGGGAGCGAGCGUUAAUCGGAAUUACUGGGCGUAAAGCGCGCGUAGGCGGCUUUGUAAGUCGGAUGUGAAAGCCCUGGGCUCAACCUGGGAAUGGCAUUCGAUACUGCAUGGCUAGAGUAUGGUAGAGGGAAGUGGAAUUUCCGGUGUAGCGGUGAAAUGCGUAGAUAUCGGAAGGAACACCAGUGGCGAAGGCGACUUCCUGGGCCAAUACUGACGCUGAGGUGCGAAAGCGUGGGAGCAAACAGGAUUAGAUACCCUGGUAGUCCACGCCGUAAACGAUGAGAACUAGAUGUCGGGGGAAUCUGUCUUUCGGUGUCGCAGCUAACGCGUUAAGUUCUCCGCCUGGGGAGUACGCCGGCAACGGUAAAACUCAAAGGAAUUGACGGGGACCCGCACAAGCGGUGGAGCAUGUGGUUUAAUUCGAUGCAACGCGAAGAACCUUACCUGCCCUUGACAUUGACAGAAUCCUGUAAAAUAACUUGGUGCCUUCGGGAAUUGAGUGACAGGUGCUGCAUGGCUGUCGUCAGCUCGUGUCGUGAGAUGUUGGGUUAAGUCCCGCAACGAGCGCAACCCUUGUCCUUAGUUGCCAGCACGUAAAGGUGGGAACUCUAGGGAGACUGCCGGUGAUAAACCGGAGGAAGGUGGGGAUGACGUCAAGUCAUCAUGGCCCUUAUGGGCUGGGCUACACACGUGCUACAAUGGGAGGUACAGAGGGUACAAUCCCGCGAGGGUGAGCUAAUCCCAGAAAGCCGAUCUUAGUCCGGAUCGCAGUCUGCAACUCGACUGCGUGAAGUCGGAAUCGCUAGUAAUCGCGAAUCAGCAAUGUCGCGGUGAAUACGUUCCCGGGCCUUGUACACACCGCCCGUCACACCAUGGGAGUUGGCUGCACCAGAAGUAGGUAGACUAACCGUAAGGAGGUCGCUUACCACGGUGUGGUUAAUGACUGGGGUGAAGUCGUAACAAGGUAACC
rnacentral:rRNA from 1 species